rnacentral:rRNA from 1 species
AACUCAAAGGAAUUGACGGGGGCCCGCACAAGCGGUGGAGCAUGUGGUUUAAUUCGAUGAUACGCGAGGAACCUUACCUGGGCUCAAAUGUAUGUUGACGUAUUCUGAAAGGGAUACUUCUUCGGACAAUAUACAAGGUGCUGCAUGGUUGUCGUCAGCUCGUGCCGUGAGGUGUCGGGUUAAGUCCCAUAACGAGCGCAACCCUUGCCUUUAGUUGCCAGCAGUUCGGCUGGGCACUCUAAAGGGACUGCCGGUGUUAAACCGGGGGAAGGUGGGGAUGACGUCAAGUCCUCAUGGCCUUUAUGACCAGGGCUACACACGUACUACAAUGGCCGAUACAAAGGGCAGCGACACUGCGAGGUGAAGCCAAUCCCGUAAAAUCGGUCUCAGUCCGGAUUGGAGUCUGCAACUCGACUCCAUGAAGUUGGAAUCGCUAGUAAUCGUGGAUCAGCAUGCCACGGUGAAUACGUUCCCGGGCCUU